rnacentral:rRNA from 1 species
UACGGGGGGGGCAAGCGUUGUUCGGAAUUACUGGGCGUAAAGGGCUCGUAGGCGGCCAACUAAGUCAGACGUGAAAUCCCUCGGCUUAACCGGGGAACUGCGUCUGAUACUGGAUGGCUUGAGGUUGGGAGAGGGAUGCGGAAUUCCAGGUGUAGCGGUGAAAUGCGUAGAUAUCAGGAGGAACACCGGUGGCGAAGGCGGUUCUCUGGGCAUGAUCUGACGCUGGAGGAGCGAAAGUGUGGGGAGCGAACAGG